rnacentral:rRNA from 1 species
UUGAAGAGUUUGAUCAUGGCUCAGAUUGAACGCUGGCGGCAGGCUUAACACAUGCAAGUCGAGCGGUAACAGGGGGAGCUUGCUCCCCGCUGACGAGCGGCGGACGGGUGAGUAAUGCAUAGGAAACUGCCCAGUAGUGGGGGAUAGCCCGGGGAAACCCGGAUUAAUACCGCAUACGCCCUUCGGGGGAAAGCAGGGGAUCUUCGGACCUUGCGCUAUUGGAUGUGCCUAUGUCGGAUUAGCUAGUUGGUGGGGUAAGAGCCUACCAAGGCGACGAUCCGUAGCUGGUCUGAGAGGAUGAUCAGCCACAUCGGGACUGAGACACGGCCCGAACUCCUACGGGAGGCAGCAGUGGGGAAUAUUGGACAAUGGGCGCAAGCCUGAUCCAGCCAUGCCGCGUGAGUGAUGAAGGCCCUAGGGUUGUAAAG